AAAUUGAAGAGUUUGAUCAUGGCUCAGAUUGAACGCUGGCGGCAGGCCUAACACAUGCAAGUCGAACGGUAACAGAAAGAAGCUUGCUUCUUUGCUGACGAGUGGCGGACGGGUGAGUAAUGUCUGGGAAACUGCCUGAUGGAGGGGGAUAACUACUGGAAACGGUAGCUAAUACCGCAUAACGUCGCAA
rnacentral:rRNA from 1 species